AUGGUGUUCAUACCUCACUUCUUUGUACUUUUGCUUUUUUGGAUUUCAGCCUCCAGAGGGGAUAGUGUUCUGACUCAGUCUCCAGCCAUGAUGUCUGUGGCUCCAGGAGAUAGGAUGAGCCAGAAUAUUGGCACAAGCAUACACUGGUAUCAGCAAAAAACAAAUGAUUCUCCAAGGCUUCUCAUAGAGUAUGCUUCUGAGUCUAUCUCUGGGAUCCCAUCCAGGUUUAGUGGCAGUGGAUCAGGGACAGAUUUCACUCUUAGCAUCAACAGUGUGGAGUCUGAAAUGAUAUAAUUUAUUACUGUCAACAGAAUAACAG